rnacentral:lncRNA from 1 species
UUUUUUUUUUUUUUUUAAUAAAAAAGCUCUCUAAACUAUGUAAUUUUAGGCUACAUAAAACCUAGAUUCAUCCCUGGAAGAAACAGUCUUAAAUACAUAUUGAAGCACCUUUAGCCAUCCCAGACAAAAGUCAGGGUUAACUCCAACAGACCAUGACAAAAGUCAGGGUUAACUCCAACAGCAAAUCUGUGAGCCAAAACUUCCCUUUUCUUUUCUCUUGGAAUAUUCUGAAUUUGGUUUUAUCCCACUUACAACUGAAGGGUAGCAGAAUAUGCUGCCCCAAAGUAUGACUCUUUGGCAUAAGGAUUAUUUUAAGAAACAGUAGAUAAAGGAGAAGCUCUGAAAAUAGUGAAGUUACCCUUUUGAAAGAGUCAUUUACAUUUAUAAAGGAAAUCUCCAUUUGUAGGUAGCUCCCUCUCUAUACCAGGAAGAGAAGGAUGACUAAACCACAAGAGAAUCUUAUCAGUGGAGAAGGUAUUCAUUCAAUCUAUAUAGAACAAACUUACUCUUGUUUACCUUGCUUUUCCUAUUAAAAUCCCAUACCUGUCCACUACUGCCCUCCUUACCUUUCUUUUGUCUUUAGCUGAAGAUGUUAUUUAAGGUAGUACAUGGGCUACCUCAAGGAAUUACUCCGUUUUCCUGGGUAUCUCCCAUAUAUAUGUGAGGUAUAAAUGUUAAUAAAUUUCUGUGUGUUCUCUCCUGUUAACAUUUAUUACAGGAGUUCCCGUGGUGGUUAAUGACUGCAACUAGGAACCAUGAGCCAGGACGGGAACUCCUCUUAUGCAUCUUUUAGAAAUGACUAGUUUAAAACUGAAUAGCUUCGAGCUCUUACUUGUGCUUCUCCCUGGCUUAACUGUACCCUAAACACAAUAACCAGUGAAAGACAGAUUAGGCACUCUGAGCACAACUGCUUAUGGGUCAAAGAUUAUAAGUACAUGAUUUUUUUUUUUUUAGGACUUUCCUAGAUUGCCCUAAUCUCUGAAUAAUAUGCUCUUUUACCAAGUGUUUUUAUUUUAGGAAAAAUCGAGAUAAUUCAGAAGACCACCAAGAUCAUGCUGAGAUCUCAUGACACCAACUUUGAUGACUGAAGAUUUCUUCCAAAGAAAGAAGAAUGCAUAUUUGCGCUCAACCCUGAUAUUUAUCUAGAACCUUGUUUUCCUACUUUUUACUAUAAAACUCCCCACAAUUCUUCCCAAUCGAGGGCACAGUCUUUAAUGCAUUAGACUAUUGUGGCCUCUUUUGCCUGGCAAAGCAAUAAAAGCUAUUCUUUUCUCCUUUACCCAAAACUCUGUCUCUGCAUUUCUAUUCAGCACCGGUGGAGAGAAGCUAAGUUUUGGUAAUACUACUAUCAAGAAACAAGUCAAAAAAAGAAAGAAUGUGAGAUAUAAUACACUUAACCUGAGGGCUGAAGCUCAAGUGUGCUGGGCUUCUAGUUGGAAGCAGUGUGGCAGAACAGUGGUCAUCCUAGACUCUGGAGUCAGAUCAUAUUUGGAAUCGAAUUCUGUCAUAAUUAUUGGGUAACUAGGGCUAGUUACUGAACCUCCCCGAACCCCAGUUUCCUCAUUUGCAAAAUGGUGACAAUCACAUACGUUACAGGAAUUAUGUGAGGAAAUGGAUAUAAAGCACUUAGCACAGACCCAGGCUCAAAACAAAGCACUCAGUAUGUAGAAGUGAUUGCUAUUAUUACUACCAUUAUUAACAAUUGUCACAGAACAUCAUCUUGGUUAAAUAGACACUAAGCUUGGGGGGUAUGAAAUCACUCUGAGGAAAGAGAGACUUGGAGAAAAUACAACUUGCCUGGUACUUUGGUCAAAACAUUCAUUUGUCUGACUUUAUACUGGUGGUAUUGGAAUGUCUAUUGUGAAGAUGAUAGAGCCUGAGUAGGAUCCGAAAUCACAACAGAAAGGCAAGCAUAAACUUCUUGGUUGUAAUAAGCAACUUGUUAAUAUUUGGACGAAUAGACUUCCCUGCUUUGGACUUUUCUACUCAAAAUGUGGCCCAUGGACCAGAAUAUCAUGGUAACUUCUUAUAAUCUCAGGCCCCAUCCCUAAUCUACUGAACCAGAAUUUUAACCAGAUCCCUAGGUGAUUUGUAUGCACAUUAAAGCUUGAAAAGCACCUCUGUAGACCACAAAAUUUAAUGUACAGCUAACCCAUUUUGGAUGUGUUUCUGUGAUCUUUGCUGUAUAAUAAACCUCUCUAAAAUGUGGUGACUUAAAACAAUAAGAAUAAGAAUGAUUUACUGUCCCUACUUCUUCAAUUUGUGCAGGGCUCAAUGGGACAGCUCAUCACUCCACUCCACAUGGUGCUGACUGAGGCAGUCCAGCUGGGACUGCAAGAUCCAAGUUGACUUCCCCUGCUCUCCAUGCUCCUCGACUAGCAGCUGGCUAGGCCUCCCCCCUCAUCUUUGUAGACCUCCAGGUGCUCUUUCCCAGUAGCCUCUCUUGCUGCAUAAUCAGACUUUUUAAAGAGAUGGCACAGGGCUCCAAAGAGUGUUAUCUUCAGCCAUCCUAAAGUCUAGAUCCAGAACUGCCACAGUGUUAUCUUGCUAUUGUCUACUAGUCAAAGCAAGUCAAAAGAUCAACUCAAACUCAAGGCGGGGUGGGUGGGAGGAAGGGAAAUAACUUCAUCUCUUGAUGGGAGAAGAGGCAUAUAUGACAGGAAUGGAAGAAUUUGUUGGGAACCAUCUUUUCAGACCAGUUAUCCCAGGGUGUCUGUUCCCUUUUCACUUCCUUCCUUACCCUGUUCUUAUGAUUGGUAAUAUAUCCACUUCAUUUCAAUUACACGACUAUAUACAUGCCCACAGUGGGAACACAAGGAAUUUUAAGGCCUGCUAUCUCCCCUUAAGGACCUUGUUAAAAGCAAAUUGGUAAAACAAGGCAUAUAUAUAUAUAUAUAAUAAAAGCUUAAUAACAAUAAAAUACUGCAAUAAUAAAAUAUUAGGUAGCAGUACAAGAUAAUAAUAGAAAUGCACCAUUCAUUAAAUUAAUUGUGUGCACAAUAACUACUCUGGGUGUUUAGAGAAGUGGAGGAAAAGUACCAUGGAAGAGGAGGGGGGUACAGCCUGAGGAAGAUUUGCAAAGAGAUAAAGAUGGAAUCCCCACAGCCAAAAAAGUCCAAUGAAACGUACAUGAAGGAUAACAGAGCCAAGGAGCCAAGGGAGUGGGGUCAUGAGGACACAAGGCCAUAAAUGAAUGUCACUGCAUAUUCUUGAGUAAUGAUUAUAAAUUCAAUGUUCCUGAAAAAAUUUCCUGCCUCAUAACAUCCACCUUUAUGUUUCCCCUUAGAUAUGUUCAUAGGCCAUUUGUAGAAUUCCCACCAGCAAUAUAACCUUGUAUUAAUAAUGAAGGGCUUUUACUAACUUUAUAAAUUUUACUAUACCUUAUGGGGUGGGGGGGGAAGGACAAACAAACAGAAUUGGAGGCAUUGUCAAAUGGCAACUUAUAAACUUCACUAUUCAUCAUAUAGGAACCAGCACUUUUGGUAUUGUUAAGCAGAAACUUGUAUAUUUCAUUAUCCCUUAGAAAAUAAAAAUGGAAUGAAAGGUACGGCUUAGAAGAAACAUAUAAAUUUCAAUCUCCACUGCAGGAAAAUAAGCUCUGAUUACACCACAUAGUUCAUACACCUCAAUGUGCCAAACACUUGUUUUAUUAUACAUUCCUGUAUAAUGAGUUGGUUUUCCAGCAACAGAGAAUGAAAUUUACAAGUUGUUAUUUAACUUUUUUAGAAAUAUAUUUUUCUUCCUUGGCUUAUUUUCCUCCUCCAUUGUCCCAAAACAUAAUAUGAGCAAUGGGGUUUCUGAAUGAUACCACUCAUUAAUUCCUUUUAUAACAAUGAUUAAAACAAUUUUAAACAUUGUUCUUGGGCUUUAUGAUAUCACGUAUAAUAGUAGAGAAUGACACAGUUUGGGAUCAUACUUUUGAAACAAUAGCUCUUUAACCCAUUGGGGGUAGAGAGAGCUUUUUAAAACUUAAUAAUAAGCAUCAUUACUAGUCUUUAAUUUCUAUUUGUUGUUGAAAAGGACUAGGCCUAUGACUCCAGAAGCUCCCCAGCGUUUUCACAAAUGCAUCUAUUAGAAAUUCAGAGCCAGUGAAUUUGAAUGAUUUUACCAUUUAUUCAAACAAGUUUCUAAAUAAUUAUCCUGGACAGGAAGGAUCAGAACAUUGGAAGAAAGUAGUAGAACUAUAUUCUAUAGAAGACAGGGCAAGAAAUAAAGAAAGAAGGGGAGUUGCCGCCUCAUUACUGAAAGUGUCAGUACAAUGAUAUCCUAAUAAAAGGAGUUCUAAUAGAAAUUAUAAAACCCCAUACUGAGAAACGCUCUCAAAAGAGGACUCUGGUUCAGUACCACCCAGAAUCAACCAAAGACAUCUUUAUGCCAGAGACUAGCAAAAAGAUACCAAUUUACCAUCUUUUUAAAUUUCCUAACAUACAAUUUUUGAACAGAUAAUAUAUACACAAAGUAAUUAAUUUAAGUAAUACUAAGUAACAAUGUACAGGGAAAAAUAAGAACCACACUUUUAACACUCUCUUGGGCGGUCUUCAAUAUAUGCAUAUACAAAUAUAUAUGCAAAUAUUUUUCUAUGAACACAAAUGAUAGCAUAUUCUAAACUUUUCUUCACUUAAUAUCAGAGUUAUAUGUAGAUACAUUCUUUAGAAUGGCUUAAUUGUACUACAGCACAUAGCUAUUCUACAAUUUAUUUACCCAAUCCCCUGUUGCUUAGACAUUUAGACUGUUUAGAAUCACUUGUUAUUAAACAAAAUGUCAUGAUGAAUAUUUUGUACAUAGAUUUUUGCGCAUCUAAUGACUAUAUUUGUAAGAUAAAUUACUAGAAAUGAAACUGCUAAGUCAAAUGGUUGUGUGCAUUUUAUUUUGAUAGUUAUGGCCAAAUAGCUUUCCAAAGACAACAUACCAAUUUAUACUUCCAUUCAUGAUACCAAUAUAUCUUGCAUUGAAGGAGUUCCAAAAUAACCAAACAUUCACCAUCAUUUUUCUACCAAAUAAUCACUUCCUUCUGAAAUGGGGGUUGGGGGUAAAUAUCUAUUUAUGCUUAUAAGUAUGGACAGGUUAAAAUUAUUAUUACCCAAGAUUCAAGGCCAUUUCAUUACCAACUGCGCUACUCUGUCCUCACUCUGCUAUAAUUCUAACUGGUCACAUAGAUCUUUAAUUUACAGAUCUCCUCAGAAUACAGAUUAUCUGCAUUCUGCAGACAUCUGCAAAAAGCUAUCCACAAGUGCAUAUUUCAUGGCUGAAUAUUUUUACAUAGCAUCAGCUGGAGCCCAUCAUUCCAGUAUUCUCGCCAAGUGUCACAACCUACUCUAUUAUAUCAAUAAACAGCUUCAAUUAGUCAUUUUCUCCCCACAGUGAGGACAGCUAUAAUAGCAUGCAGUGAUCUGAUGAAGUUUGUAAUACAAAGUAGAGAUGGAGAUAUUAGAAGAAAGAGGAUACAAAAUUAGAAUAGCAUAAAAAAUAUUCCACCUCCCAAACAGUCAUUUGGGGAAAUGACAACAUUUCUAACACAGUGUUCAAGAGUGAAUACAAAAAUGCAAUUACUUUUGAAAAAGAUGGAUAAAUAAAUUCACCAUGGGAACACAUUCUUGCCCCAGAUAGAACUCCGGUUUUUAUUGACUAAUUAGUCAUUAAGUGUCAUCUCAAAAACAACUAUAAAUAAAGGAAUAUUUGGUAAAUAGAAAAAAAAAAAAACUUGUCUUAAACAGAGCUGUAAGAUGAAAAUAAAUGCCAACAGAGAAUGCUACUUUGAAAGCAUUGUACAGUAGCAAAUAAAUUAGAAGGCAAAACAUGAUUGGCUCUCCUCUCAGAAUUUAUCUACUUCUCACCUUGUCUACUAGGAUCAAUGGGCUCCAAGCUACUUUCAUGAAAUAGGGCAUAAAGCCAUCGCUUCCCAUCUGACCACUUACUUCUCUUGACUCUUUCACUCUCUUCUAUCCAGAACAGCUGAAAUUAUUUUUUAAAAAUACAAAUCAGAUCAUGUUAUUUCUUUCCUUUCAGUACUCCUGUAGUUUCCCUUGCAAUAAAGAUCUAAAAGCUUUGCCAGGCUGAAAAAGCCCUGCAUAACCCAGUCCUUCCACCUCUCCAAUAUCACGCCCCAUUGCUCCCUUCACAUCCCCACUAUGCUUCCAUUAAGCAUAGUCUCAGCUCAGAUCCCCAAGCCUUACUAUUGCUUCCAGCUGGGAUGCUUGUCCCCCAAAUAUUAUCUAUCCCUCCAUCACUUUAAUCACAUUUGUCAUCAAAUGUCAUCUCAUUAGGGAGGGAUUUUUUGACCACCCAAUCUAAAAAGCAACCCCAAACUCUAUCAAUGCAUACUGAUUUACUUUCCUUACACCACUUCCUCCACCUUACAUUACAUUACAUAUAUCCAUGCAUAUCAAUUUAUUAUCUUAAUCUCCUUUUAGAAUGUAAUGUCUAUGAAGGCAAGAAGAAGCAAAAAUACAAAUUGUGCAUCCCAACAACAUACAAAAUCAUUCUGUGAUUAUAAACUAUAUCCAUACUUGAUAAAGCAUCAUUUAACUUACUUGGAAUCAAGUUCCUUCAACACAGCAAACAUUUAAUGAUUUUAAUUAUACACAGGGCUAUUACAUAUUAUGUAUAUAAUAGGUAUUAUAUACAUUAUAUAACACUCAUACACAUAUAUAAUAUGUAGUAUGUAACGAAUAUUUAAUUAUAUACGGAGUCUGGUACCACAGUUCCAAAUGUCUAUUCCUGUGUUUCAGAGACAAGAUAGAAAAUAUGACCUACUGAAAUAACUAAAAUAUUAACAAUUAGAAGCCAAUAUGAGUAGGGUAGACAGUUUAAGUGUAAAGAAGUAAUAAGGAGGGACUUGUAUAGGCUAAGAGGGUAAAGGAAGUUUCAAAAGGAAAGAUGGAGAGGAUCUGGAAAAGGAAUGCAGGAGGCAGGCACUCCAGUUGAGCACACAGCAUGGUGGAAAACACAGAUUAUACCAGUGAGCCUCAAAUUUCAGGGCAUGGAAUCUUGGUGCUCUAUGGUCCAUUGAAAGGAGGAAGCAAAAAUCUAAUAAAGCUAGGUCCCUUUCAAUCCUCUUUUAAUCUUUCUAAUUUAUCUAAUGAGAAAUUGUUAAUUAGUGCUAUAAUUAGUGUUAACAUGUCAAAAUACCUUCUUAAUCCUUGCUAAUAUGAAUAGCAUCAUUUUAUUUUUGUUGUUUUCUUCUUUAAAGUUUUACUCCCUUAGUUACAGUAAGGGAUUUCAUUUUCCUUUUAUGGAAUAAUGUGAGUUUCUUUCCCUUUUCUUUUUUUUUUUUUUUUUUUUUUUUUUUUCUUUAAUGGCAUGUGGAAGUUACUGGGCCAGGAAUUGAAUCCAAACUGCAGCUGCAGCCUACAUGACAAUUGCGACAACACUGGAUCCUUUAACCCACUGCAUGGAGCCAGGGAUCAAACCUAUGCCUCCUCAGCAAUCCAAGCCACUGCAGUCAAAUCUUAACCCACUGCACCACAUGGGAAAUCCAAUAUCUGAGUGUCUUUAUAUAUAAACUUAUUUAAGUAAAUAAAGUGAGUUAUUUUAAAGCCUGAUGCUAAGCCAAUCCUGAACCAGGUGGCUGGGACACUACCUGUCUAGCCACAGUAGAGUCCAGGUCAAAAGUAAGCAAAAGGAAGCUGACUGGAAAAAAGCAGAAAGGUAAAGUCUUGUCAAAACGCAAGAAGCCUCGUGGCAGGGGAAACAUUUUGGAAAAUAUUUUGUAGGUCUGUUUUCCAAGUGUCUGCAAAGCCAAAUUCCUUGGAAAUAUGUUCUUUGUGCAUGAGUGUGGCAUCUCUCUCAUUUUCCAGAGUGCAUGAAAUAUGCCAAUCUUCAAUUCUGUUAUUCAAAGUUACAGGCAAAGUUGAAAAAAGCAAAU